UUCUGGCUCAGAACGAGCGCUGGCGGCGUGCUUAACACAUGCAAGUCGAACGCGAAAGGGACUUCGGUCCUGAGUAAAGUGGCGCACGGGUGAGUAACGCGUAGAUAACCUGUCUUCAUGUCUGGAAUAAUACGCCAAAGGGGUACUAAUACCGGAUAUUCUUGCUUUUCAUAAGUUAUGCAAGCAAAGGUGGCCUCUGCAUAUGCUACUGCAUGAAGAGGGGUCUGCGUACCAUUAGCUAGUAGGUGGGGUAAUGGCCUACCUAGGCGACGAUGGUUAGCGGGUCUGAGAGGAUGAUCCGCCACACUGGCACUGGAACACGGGCCAGACUCCUACGGGAGGCAGCAGUGAGGAAUAUUGCGCAAUGGGGGAAACCCUGACGCCAGCGACGCCGCGUGAGUGAGGAAGGCCUUCGGGUCGUAAAGCUCUGUCCUAUGGGAAGAUAAUGACGGUACCAUAGGAGGAAGCCCCGGCUAACUACGUGCCAGCAGCGGC
rnacentral:rRNA from 1 species